rnacentral:lncRNA from 1 species
GGCUUUCUUUUUGUGAAGAGGAGAGAAAACGGAAGGGUUGGCCUGGUUUCUUGCAUAAUGCUUCAGAUAGGGAAUUGCUAAGCUUUACUGGCCCAAUCACUGCUUGCUGAAAUCCAGUUUAGGGAGGGAAGCUUAGAGCUCCCCUAGACCUGACAUAGCAAUUCCUAUUGGCACAGAGCUGCAGAAGCCUCUCUGCUGCCAGCUGCUGGAGUUCCUCUCGCAACACACCCCAUUUGUUGCUGCUGCAGCCUCUCUGCUGUCAGCUGCUGGUUGGAAAGUUCCUUAUUUGCAACACUCUUAAAUUUUGCAUCUGAAAGGUGUUUGCAUCUGUGAGUAAGGCCUAAGAGCACAGACUUCCUUGGCAUAGCUGGAGCUUGAGAGAAAGUUGGGACAUUGUAGACUAAAAUAGAUUUCUGUACUGCUCCCUAUAUUAUUGAUCUCUUGUUGACCCACUGUUGUUUGUUAGCUGAAUAAAUAUCAUUACUUGCACGUUCCUUAGGAGCUGUUACUCAGACUUGGCGUCCCAGGUUUCCUGGGUAGGGGCUUGAGCCAGAACCUAAUAUACUGUCCAAUAGACAGGGUACAGGCCUUGUCCAUCAAAGGCUUGCAUAUUUAUUUUGGCAGAAGCUUUUGUGGAUUAAAGUCCACUUCAUCUCAUGCACACUGUGUUAUUCUCAGUUGGCUGAUACAGUGGUACCUCUGGUUAUGAACGCUUCUGGUUACGCAUCCUUUGGGUUACGAGCUCCGCUAACCCGGAAGUAGUUGCUCCUGGUUGCGAACUUUGCCCCAGGAUGCGAGCGGAAGUCGCACACCAGAGGCACGCAUGCAGCAGGAGGCACCAUUAGCAAAAGCGUGCCUCAGGAUAAGAAUGGUUUCAGCUUAAGAACGGACCUCCGGAAUGAAUUAAGUUCGUAACCAGAGGUACCACUGCAUGGCUACUGGGGGUGGGGAGUGUAAAUGGACACUGAAAAGGGUGUGUGUGGAGAGGAAGUAGAGCCAAAAGCAGAGGCAGCAGUAGCUGUAUAACAUUUUGAUGAAGAGCCAAAGUAUAGCCUUUAAGUGGAAUUGCCUAUUAAAAACUGUAUGUAAAAACUAUGAUGUGAAACCAGUUAUGAUUAUGACUUCUUUAGUUCAGCAUCUGCAUAGAAUUUCAUUCCAUUGCAUGAAAAGGAGACAAUUAAUCUGGACACUGCAAGGCUGACAGAACCAGCAACUAUAGAGAAGCUGUGGUGGAUCAAAACGGAUGCAUCUGUGCCAUUUCUCUGCAAGCUGCUUGGGGAGACUUUAUGAUAGACUUUUCUAUCUGUGAUAUGAGGCCUUGGCAUCCCGAGGGGGGAUAAGAUUAGAAGGCAAACAACAGCCAUGUAGCCAAAACAAAAGUGAAAGCAUAGCAUAUUUUGGCAAGCUAGCGCUGGACGUGGAGAAGAACUCUACACUGCCCUUCCAGGGUGAUUAUGGUAAUUCAUGAUCUACAUCUUAUGUGCCCACCUGACUAAUGAAAUAAGUGCAAAUAUGGAAAAAGCCACCUCUCUGGUUCAGCUCCUGAUCAGUGUAAACGGUACACGGAGAAUCAUUUUGUUGUUUUAGUUACUGCUUUCCUUCUUCGUGGUGGUGGUGGUGGGUGUUUGGUUUGUCUUCCUGCUGCUUGUUUUGAUUUGUGUGCUUUGCUCAGCAAAGGGCCUCAAGGUCUGUGCCAACAGCUUUGCAUUGGUCACUUUGAACUUUAUGCUAAAUUAAGUUGCUAAGCAAUUUAGGUCUUGUGCUUUACAACUUGAUGUGCUGAAGGAAGUUAGGAGGAGACAAUGUUAAUAAUGUUACUUACAUGGAUUGAUUGCUUUGUCAGGCAUAAUUAUUCAUGCCAUUAUUAAACCAUGAAUUGGUUUGUGCUAUUUCUAUCACGUUCCUGUAAGUUGUUAUAUUUGCUGCAAAUUCCAUAAUGCCAUCAUGCUUUGUGCUCCAAUAAAUAGAUUGAUUUGUUCCAGU